UAAAAAUGGAGAUGCUUUAUUAUCGUCCGCUUUCCAACCAAACACAUCGUAAAACAAUUCUUAUUAAAACAAGCUAAACCUGAGAGCCGAGAAAAAGCCAAAACAAUUACCCCUAACUAGUGAAACGGUAAUCUCUCAGCUUCUCGUUGCGCAACCUCCCCGGUUUCCCAGUCCCGCUCACCGCCGCCAUCGCCGGCGCCCAUGGCGGCCUCACCAGGGGCAGACGAACCGCUGGAGAGCUCAACAGUGGAGCAUCCUGAGGCGGUCCAGCCGCCUUCACUGCCGAUUGUUGAGGCGGAACCGCCUCCGCCUCUUAUAGGGGCGGCGGCUGCACAUGAAGCGAUCUCUCCGAAGAAGUCCUCUUCCCCUUCGCCGCAUCCGGCGAACUUGGCGGUCGAAGUUUCUCCAGAGGUGGAGGCCUCUUCCUCGUCUCCGUCCCCGUCGUCUUCUCCCUCUCCAUAUCCCCAAAUCAUGGAGGUGUUGCCGGGUGCGCCGCAACCACUGUCUCCUCCACGUGCUUCUCCGUCUGUUGCGGCGCGUGCUUCGACGGACCUCUCCAUUACAGAGGCGAUGUCAAUGGCGUCCCAGGAAGCAGCUCGCCCACCCCCGUCCCCCGAGUCUACGGACGCGCACUUGCACACCGCGUCCGCGCUGCCGACGUCGCUGAUGGAGAUUGGGCCUGGAGUGUUGGUGCCACAGCAGCAGCCGCGACCACCAUCUCCGGAAAUGGCCCCUCCACUAUGUGAUUAUUCAGAGUCCGCACAGCCAUCGCCGCUGUGUCAUCCGGAUGGAUGCACAGGCGCCUCGCCAGACGCACCGAUGGACGAGGUAAUGACAGGAACGUCAGGAAAAGCAGCUGGGCCGUCGCCAGGUGAAAACUCGGAGUUAGCACAGUCACAGCUGCCGCAUCUUCCAGCUGAAAACACAUAUGUCUGUUCAAAUGCAGCGGGCAAGAUAUCAGCAGUGACUUCAGAAGAAGGUACUCAGCCUGCGAUGGCGUCAAUUGAUGGUGAGGGGCCAUUAGAGAUUGGGGCGCAGAGAUCAUUGCAGGAGCUAGAGGAGACAACAACAUCCUUCAAGAUGGAAGCUGAGCCUUGUUCGCCGGAGAUGGCUCCUCCAGGGUUUGAAGAUUGUAAGUCUCAAUGGUUGCCACUGUCACAUCCUAAUCCUCUGGUUGAAUCCACACACACUGUGGUACAAGUGACUACUACCAAUGCCAUGGGAACGACUCCAGAUGCAGCAACUGGGUCACUGUCUUCACCUCGCCUACUUCCACUGUUGAAGAGAGAUACAGAGGGGCAAACACUUCCAAGAUCAUGCUCUCCAACAACAGAAGCUGCACCAUGUUCACCAGAUAUGCCACCUCCAGGCUUUGAGAAUUGUAAGUCAUCGUGGCUACCACUACCAACUCUUCAACCCAUAGCUGAAACCACGCAUGUGUUGCACGACGUGGCUCCCACCAAGUCAAUGGUAGUGGGACUUAUGGAAAAGGCAUGCUCAGUGCUGGCAUUGGAGCGGACAGAUGUGAAGAUAGACUCGGAGCAGAGCCUAUUGCCGCCAUUGGAGAGUGAAACUGAGAGUUCAUUGCAAGGGCCACUGCCAAGGUCACCUUCUUCCAUGAUGAAAGCCAUUCCCUGUUCACCAGAUACUGCACCUCCAGGGUUUGAAAAUUUAAAGUUCACACAGUUACAGCCUCCCUGUCCACCUCUGGUGCAGACUGCACAUGUUUUGCAAAAUUCAGCCAAUAAUGAGGCCAUGCCUGUGAUAUCAAAGGAAGCUCCUCAGCCAUUGCCUGCAUUGGAUGCAACGGAUUUAGACAUUGAUGCCAAACCUGUCCUGGCACCACCAUCAGAGAGUAAACCAGGGCAAUUGUCACCGGAACCUCCCCUUCUGCUACCUCAUGUAGCACAGCAUACAACGUGUUCGCCAGGGAUGACACUUUUAGGGUCUGAGAAUAUCGAGUCCUCGCAGCUGCUGCCACGAGCUCUGGUUCUUCCUCUUGAUCAGACUUCAGACAUCUUGGCUGAUGCAGGGACCAAGAAGACAGUCACAAUGGAAGAAGUGUGUCAUCCGCUGCCUGUAGCAGGAGUGGCGGAAGAAGCCAAUAGGUCUGUUCUUCUACCAGUAACGGAAAAUGGCUGUGAGGGCCAAUCACCACACCUAGAGCUACAGACUUCUUCCCCUGCAGUGAAUGCUGCAGCUACAUCACUGGAGAUAGCUCCCGGAAGUUUUGAGAAUUCAGAGUCCUCUCAGUUGAUCUCUCCUUGUCUAGCUCAGACAAUAGACCCCACUACUCAUGCAUCAGGUAUUAUGCCUACUAUUGUUAAGUCAGAGAAAACGAAUCUGCCACUAUCUUCAUUACAGGCUACAUGCACAGACAUGGAAAGUGCAAUCCUGUGUCAGUCGCCAUCGAAGAGUGAAGAGAGAUCACUGCCACAGGCAGAGCAACACCCGUCUUCUCCAUCUGUUAAGGACACUACUUGUUCACCAGAGGUUGCACCCCCAGGUUAUGAAAAUUUUGACUCUUUGGAUCAGCUGCCACCAUCACCACCUCUUUGCUCAAAAUUUGUCUGCUGCGUGAAGAUAAGAUGUGAAAGUUCGGAUGCAUAAAUUUCAAGCCUUUUGUCAAGGGCGUCAGUGCCCAGGACAGCAGGGCCCUGACUACGCAGCUCAUAGUCGCGACGGGUAAGGGUGCCGGGGUUUUUGCCCGGUAACCCGAUGGUGAAGGGGACGAGAUUGGAGAGGAGAAGUAGAAAGAAUGAGAUAAGUAAUUCUUGCUUGCUUUAUUGAAUCCGCCGCCCGCCAUAUAGCCAGCCCCCCCUAACAAACUCCUCCUGUUUAUCCUCUAAUACUUAUCUCCCUAACAAACUCCUCCUAUUUAUCCUCUAAUACUUAUCUCCCUAGCCAACUCCUGCUACUUAUCCUCUUAUCUAAACAAAUCUCCCACUUUCUAGUCACGCCUAACUGCCUGCUACUCCUGCGCCGGCGUGAUCCCGCGUGGCCUACGCUGGUAGUGGUGGCCCCACAUGUCACCUUUAGAUACUGUGAAAGAUUAAUGGAGAAAUUGGUAACUGACUGAUUACUUCUCUUUAGGCUGGUUUAGGAGCAAACUGGUGAGCAGUACUGGUAUCUGCUAGGCCCUUGACUAGGAUGCUGCAUAUCCUUUUGGGGAUUCCAUAAAUAGAUCUUAUUAAGUUGCAGUAAGUUUGAGUUUUGUGGAAUAUGCAAUAUGUUAAUGCUGAUUAAGGCAAUGUAAAAAAGGUAGGAUGUGGAUUUUUAUUUUCCAAUACAAUGGUUCAGGACAUUUAAUCCUUAUUUGUUAACAUUCCUCUCUUUAUCUUAGUACAAAAGGGUGGUACUGAUGAAAUUCGGAAAAGGUGGUGUUAGAGCUGAGGAAGUUGUGCUGUUUCAUUGCAGUAGAAAAAAAUCUUUAUGGACAAUAAAUAGAAGAUGAAAUCUGUAUGGGCGGUAUUGUAAUCGAGAUCUUACCUUAAGAAAUUGGUCAAAUGGUAUGCGGAUCUUGUCGUCAGCUUGUUGCAUAUCCUACGGGUGCUGUUCAUGUUCAGUGUUUUGGUUGCUUGACAAUAAAUCUUGUACUGGAAGAACAUCAAGUUGGUAAGGUAUAUUGUGGACAAUGUGAUACACUCUUGAUGUAUCCUUUUGGGGCUCCUGCUGUGAAAUGUUCCAACUGUCUUUUUGUCACUGAAAUCGGAGAACGCAAUGUUCGGCCACGGAUAUUGAUGGAACAGAGUGUCUCACCUGCGGCACAAGAGGAGGUUCACUAGAGAGCUAGGUCAGGCUUUAACAACGGCUGGUAGUGGAACCUAGAUGAUAUCGCUCGUAGUAACUCCAGACGCUGCCAUGGAAAACUCGCAAGUCAUCCGGCAUGAUCCUGUAGCUGUAACCUCAAAUGGCCUGUGGUCUGUGGAAGUGUGGAGUGGCACCUUCAGAUGCAGCCUGUAGUUUAGGGAUGAAAAAGGCGGAUGCAGUAUGGCCAGGAUCAACUGCUAAGCGAAAAGAUUAUAUCCAGCCGUAGCCUUAUCAUAGGGAAGAUAAACUGCUUAAGCUCGGCUGUAACUGGAGCAGGUUAAUCAUGGUUGACGGUACGGUGGUCUCAGAUGAUCCUCAAGUUAAGUAUUUGUUGGGGACGAGCAGAGUGCUUCAGUGCUUGGGUUUGUCUACGAACCAUGGAACAACCCACUUGUAUCUUUAGCGUCACAGCACAAUCACAAGCGCUGUUGUGGCCCUUCGAGGGCAACAGGAGGUAAAAAAGUACUUUAUGAAGGUAGGAAUAUUUGGUAGCAUCUCCUCUCUUUUUUUGACAAAAGGGAAAUUCAUUCAUUUGUCAUGAGCACAACAAACUCCAUUCUAAGUUUUGAAGCCAAUUGGAUGUUACAACGUUGAGAUUGUGCUAAAGCUUGACAAGAAUAAAGACAAUCUCCUGUAAUUGAUGCCCUGCCUUGCCUGUUUUGUUAAA